GGAAGAACAACAGGGAUUGCCUCAGUAACCGGCGAGUGAAGCGGCAACAGCUCAAAUUUGAAAUCUGGCCUUCCGGUCCGAGUUGUAAUUUGUAGAGGAUGUUUCGAACGUGGUCCGGUCUAAGUUUCUUGGAACAGAACGUCAUAGAGGGUGAGAAUCCCGUAUGCGACUGGGUGCCUAAGUUCAUGUGAAGCUCCUUCGACGAGUCGAGUUGUUUGGGAAUGCAGCUCAAAAUGGGUGGUAAAUUUCAUCUAAAGCUAAAUAUUGGCCAGAGACCGAUAGCGCACAAGUAGAGUGAUCGAAAGAUGAAAAGCACUUUGGAAAGAGAGUUAAACAGUACGUGAAAUUGUUGAAAGGGAAGCGCUUGCAACCAGACUUGCACGCAGUUGAUCAUCCGAUGUUCUCACCGGUGCACUCGACUGCGUUCAGGCCAGCAUCGGUUUUGGUGGUUAGAUAAAGGCCUUGGGAAUGUAGCUUCUUUCGGGGAGUGUUAUAGCCCUCGGUGCAAUGUAGCCUACCGGGACCGAGGACCGCGCUUCGGCUAGGAUGCUGGCGUAAUGGUUGUAAGCGACCCGUCUUGAAACACGGACCAAGGAGUCUAACAUCUAUGCGAGUGUUUGGGUGUAAAACCCAUACGCGUAAUGAAAGUGAACGGGAGGUGAGAACCCUUAAGGGUGCAUCAUCGACCGAUCCUGAUGUCUUCGGAUGGGAUUUGAGUAAGAGCAUAGCUGUUGGGACCCGAAGAUGGUGAACUAUGCCUGAAUAGGGUGAAGCCAGAGGAAACUUCUGGUGGAGGCUCGCAGCGGUUCUGACGUGCAAAUCGGAUCGUCAAAUUUGGGUAAUAAGGGGGCGAAAGAACUAAUUCGAACCCAUUCUGAACCAUACCUACUGGAUGGAACAUGGGGGGGCUCUGCUCCCCGAGUAGUCUCUAGGAGGCAACAUUACCACUGUGCAGGCCUGCCACUUGGCUACUGCAGCGGACUGCUAGCGGGGUCCGGUCCACAGACUAAACGGGUGAUGGCCCAGCCGUCGGGCUGGGUUCUGAUAUAGCCGAUUCCCGCCACCAGCGUGGCGGGUUCUCAAGAGUAGCUGGUUCCUGCCGAAGUUUCCCUCAGGAUAGCAGUGUUGAAUUCAGUUUUAUGAGGUAAAGCGAAUGAUUAGAGGCCUUGGGGCAGAAACUGCCUUAACCUAUUCUCAAACUUUAAAUAUGUAAGAAGUCCUUGUUACUUAAUUGAACGUGGACAUUCGAAUGUACCAACACUAGUGGGCCAUUUUUGGUAAGCAGAACUGGCGAUGCGGGAUGAACCGAACGUGAAGUUAAGGUGCCGGAAUAUACGCUCAUCAGACACCACAAAAAGUGUUAAUUCAUCUAGACAGCAGGACGGUGGCCAUGGAAGUCGGAAUCCGCUAAGGAAUGUGCGUCAGUUACUCGUUCCUUCCCCCGGGGCUCUCCGAGCCCAACCUUUGCAAACUUGGUGGACGUCUCCCAGGACAACCCCAAGCCUAGGAAACUAGGUCUACAGACUAAAUGCAACGGGUCUCCCCGCGGAGAUUUUGAUAUAGUCGAGCCUGCCACCUUGCGGUCGCAGUCCAAGCGGUGUAACAACUCACCUGCCGAAUGAAUUAGCCUUGAAAAUGGAUGGCGCUUAAGCGUAUUACCCAUACUUCACCGCCAGGGUAGAAACGAUGCCCUGGCGAGUAGGCAGGCGUGGAGGUCAGUGACGAAGCCUUGGGAG
rnacentral:rRNA from 1 species